rnacentral:lncRNA from 1 species
GAAAUAAGAAAUUAAUCUACAUAUACUUACAUAUACUUACACAAAAAUUAUAAUAUAGUUAUAUAAAAAUUAAAUUAAAAUUAAUCUGAUUUAAAAAUACUUUGCGCGAGAUACUACUGCGUCGUCUCUUAAUAUUGUUCAAAUGAAGCGCUCUCGUACAAUCAGGAAUAUGGCUGACGGUCACGUGAUCGGUUACCACUUACAUCAAAGGUGCCGACGCUCACUGUUGCUACGGUAUAUACUUAUACUGUGACUAAAAUACGGUGAACGAUGAAAUCUUGAUGAUAGAAGAAGUGGAUCAAAUGAUAAUCUGUUUUGAUUUUGUAAAGUGUACGUGUUUAAUUAAAACUGCAGAUUAAAAAAUGAAAUAUUGCGUAGUAAAAAAUUGUAAUAAUUCUGCGUAUAAAAGAAAAACAUUAAAAAAGCAAGUGGCUUUAUUCACGUACGUUAUUUAUUCCUUUUCGUUUUUUCCUUUAUUGUUUCAUUUACAUAAUAUGCAUUUUUAUAUAAAUAUUAUUAUUGACACGCUCUUAACCUAAAAUAAAUAUUUUAUUAUAUAGAUUUCCAAAGAAUCUUGAUUUAAGGAACAAAUAGAAGGAAGUUAUUUGCAAUUACAAUUCUUAAAACUUAAUAAUAAAAACUUAUAGUGCAGUAUGUGAAGAACAUUUUAUCAAUAAUGAUUUCAAUAAAAUUGGAUUAUCUGCAUUACGUCUACAUAAUGGAUCCAUACCAUCAAUAUUUCCAAAUUCUACUGAUUUAAAUGUAAAAAAAAUAAUUGACUUUGAUGUUGCAACUAAUACUACAUCUGACAUACUAAUGGAAGUUGAAUCAACAGUAACAUGCUCUUCGACUCAAAACGAAAUAGAAAGAGAAUGUUUUAUAAACGUCGGCAUUCCAACAACGAGCACUCAAACAACAAAUAUGUUAAGAUAUUCAAAAGAUAUUUCAGAAAAGGUACUCGAAUAUAUGUCACGAAGUGCUUUAAUAAAAUAUACAAAAAUUUUAAGGCGAAAAUAUUUUAAUCAAUAGAAAAUAAUCAAAAACUUAAGAAAGAAAACAUAUUAUCAAAAGAAAAAAAUUGUAUGUUUCAAAAGUUUGUUAAUUAAUUUGAGAAAAAAUAAUCUCAUUUCUACAAAUGCUCAUCAAGUGCUACAGACUUCUGUGGCAUACAUUUCUGCGCGACAUAAAUACUGGCGUUAUCAAUGUUACAAAAAUACAAAACUUUAGUUUAUUUAAAAAUGUUUUUUAAUUAUAAAAAUUUGAUAUAUGUAUGCAAUAAAUAAUUAUGUAUAUAUUAAUAUAAAACAUCAUAACAUAUAAUUUUUUACAUAAAUAAAAUAUUUAAUUUUAUAAUCUUAAAUAUUACUUUUUUAAGACUUAAUAAUAAAUCAUAAAUUAAUUUAUUAAAGUCCAUUGCUGAACUAGUAUCGCAAAAAACAAUUAGAAAUAAAACAAGAGCAAAAACUAAUUUUUUAUAUCAAUUUUAUGUAUUAUUAUCGUUAUUAUUAUUAUAUGAUAAAUAUACAAUGUAUACAAUGUAUCUAAUAAUAAUGUUUAUUACAGAAGUAAUAGAAUAAGCAUGUUAGUAAAAUUAUUAGGAUAGGAAAUUAUGCAUAUACUGCAGUAUUUUUGUAACAUGGAAACAAUAUAAAUAAAAUAUUUUAAAUAUGUAAUCGUGUGUGUGUGUGUGUCUAUUCUAAUAUCUAAUUGUGUAUUUAAUUUAUUAUCAACAUAUCCAAUUGUAUUUUUAAAUUGUUUUUAAUAAUAUAUAACACUAUAUAGAAUAUUUCAGACGAUCAUCAUUAAACACAUAGAGAGAGGCAAAGUUAAAGGAAAAUAUCCGCCACAAUUAAAAACUUUUGCAUUAACCUUACACUUUUAUAGUCAUAAAGCAUAUGAUUACGUUCGUCGAGUGUAUAAAAAUAAAUUACCUGCUUCAUCCACAAUUAGAUCGUGGUAUAGCAAUACUGAUGGAAGUCCAGGAUUUUCUAUGGAAUCUUUAGAAAUCUUGAAAAUGAAAAGUAAAGUAGC